AUAUCAAUAAGCGGAGGAAAAGAAACUAACAAGGAUUCCCCUAGUAACUGCGAGUGAAGCGGGAAAAGCUCAAAUUUAAAAUCUGGCGGUCCCUGUGGUCGUCCGAGUUGUAAUUUAGAGAAGCGUUAUCCGCGCUGGACCGUACACAAGUCUCCUGGAAUGGAGCGACAUAGAGGGUGAGAUUCCCGUCUUUGGUACGGACUGCCAGGGCAUUGUGAUGCGCUCUCAAAGAGUCGAGUUGUUUGGGAAUGCAGCUCAAAAUGGGUGGUAAAUUCCAUCUAAAGCUAAAUAUUGAGGAGAGACCGAUAGCGAACAAGUACCGUGAGGGAAAGAUGAAAAGAACUUUGGAAAGAGAGUUAAACAGUAC
rnacentral:rRNA from 1 species